GCUCGGUCUCAAAUACACACACUCACACGCUCUGCAUGCAGCUGGACGAUCAAGAGUUUUUUUUAAGCACAAAUGUAUUCUGAGAGGACAGAGUGUGUGGUCUGAGGGACUCAACUGGUCCAGCAUUUGGAGAGGCAGCCAACUCUCAGAGCUUUUACAGCACUGUUGAGAGAAAACAAGGAGCGUCGGCUGUUAAUGAUGAGGAUGCAAUGGAGUCUGUGCAGGAUCAUUUUCUUGGUGACUUUUUUGUUGGAGCUCGGCUGGAUAAACAUAGGAUAUAGCAUGCACAGGGAGGGAUACAACAAGCGGGUUAGGAGACAGUGGGAGAGGCAGGUCCGCACAUCCUCCAGUUUGGACGAGCUACUGCGACUCGCACAUUUCCCUGACUGGAAGCUGUGGAAGUGUCGUUUAAGGCUGCAGCCACCACAAGUCAAUGCAGAGCCCUUCUCCUUUCCGCCUCUGGUUGGAUCGCACCGCUCCACACGCUACGCUGCUGAGUCUUACAGCCUGGAGAUACUCAAAGCCAUAGAUGAGGAGUGGCAGAGUACUCAGUGUAUGCCCAGAGAGACAUGCGUCGAUGUGGCCAACGAGCUGGGGACCGACCCCUCGAUUUUCUUCAAGCCACCCUGUGUAUCUGUCUACAGGUGUGGUGGCUGCUGCAACCAGGAGGGCAUCACUUGCAGAAAUACGUCUACUGUAUAUGUGAAUAAAACGGUCCUCAGUAUAAUACCUUUUAAAUUUGUACCGGAACCCAUGCUGAUAAAAGUAGCAAACCAUACUACUUGCAGAUGCAUGGAGCCUGCAAUAAUUCGACGUAACGCUCAGCAACACAGGACCAGUGGCUGCCCUCUGAUGGGACAGAUGUUGGAAGCUCGGGACUCCAGGAGACUUUGUGCCAGUGGGUGGAUUUGGGAUUGUUCAAGUGAAAGAUGCAUACCUUACCCUUCCAGUACACCAGAGCUUCCCCUCAGUUCCUGGUUGUCGGACUGUGAGAUAGACGUGGAGCGCUGUGAAUGUCUGCCCAGACCGGAGCCAAUUCUCCAGCCGAGACCGCUGUAAUCCAAACUCUUCCAUGAGACCCCAAUGUUUUGAUAAAGCCUCAUGCAGGUAGAGAUGCAAACUCCUCAAGUAGAGCUUCACUGGAGAUAUACAUUACGACAAGCUGCUCAACAAAGAGCAAUGACAAAUAUAAAAUGUCCUAUAAUUUAUUUACAGUCCUAUUUAUGCAGAUUACUUUACUUAUAUUAACUAAUUUGACCAUGUUAAUUGAUUGGUUUAACAAGAAUGGAUUAGGUUUUAAUCAAAGUGUACAAUUUUACCUUCUUUCUUUGUGCACUGAAUUUUUAGUAUUUACAAUAAAGAUUAUUUUUAUAAUUCAAAA